GCCUUAUUCCAACUGCCUUAUUUCAAUCCAGGACAGGAUCUACACGUACCCGAAAACAGCUUCAUUAUUACCAAGACAUCUCCCUGAAGAAGAAACACAGCUAAAAGAUGUUACACAACAUACUUUUGCUUUUUGUGGGUCUGCUGUCAUUGGAACAUGUGUCCUUUGCAGAGGUUCCUUCUUCACAAAUAGUAAAUAUCACAGAAACAAGAGAGUAUGCUGAGAGGAUGCAGAACUUUUCCAGGACAAAUUUUGAGCGCUUGGAGAAAGUGAGGAACAGAUCCAUUCGUGUUGCAAGGAGCUGUAAAGAGCUCAGGGGCAGAUAUGAUGAACGAGAAGAUGGAGUAUACUACCUGACAACAGGUAAUGGCAUGCUGUACCAGACUUACUGUGACAUGACCACAGCUGGAGGCGGAUGGACGCUGGUGGCGAGUGUCCAUGAGAAUAGCAUUUAUGGGAGGUGCACUGUGGGUGAUCGCUGGUCCAGCCAGCAGGGAAACAAUGCUGACCUGCCGGAUGGAGACGGGAACUGGUCCAACAGAAACACCUUUGGAACAGUAGAGAGCGCCACUUCUGAUGACUUUAAGAAUCCAGGUUACUACGAUAUAACAGCUGAGGACAUGUCUGUGUGGCACAUUCCCAACAACUUGCCGCUGGAAUUCUGGAACCUGGAAGCUGCAGCCGUCCUCCGCUACCACACUGAAAACCGCUUCCUCAGACUGUAUGGAGGAAAUCUCUUUCAGCUCUUCAAGCAAUAUCCAGUGAGAUACAAUGUUGGGUCAUGUGGUGACAGAGGGCCAGCUAUUCCUAUUGUAUACGACCACGGGGAUAAGGAGUCCACCAGAAUGUUGUAUGGACCCAGUUCAAGAAGGGAGUUUGAACCAGGCUUCAUCACAUUCAGAGCAAUAAACUAUGAACGUGCCGCCAUGGCUAUCUGCUCUGGUGUCAAGCCAACUGUUGGUUACAACACUGAACAUUACUGUAUAGGAGGAGGAGGAUAUUUCCAUCCUGACCAGUGUGGGGACUUCCCAUCAUUUGACUACGACAGACUGGGCAGGGAGCAAGGCUGGAGCGCCUCCAGAGAGAUGACCGAGGCUGCUGUCUUACUGUUUUACCGCUGAGAGGAUUUGUGUACAUGUAGCCUCUGACUAUAGUCUGUUCAGCAGUCCCAGCUGUAACCAGAUCAGGAUUUCAGUCACACAGGAUUUGGUAAAAUUUGUACCUUUCCUAUUGGAUUAUAUCAACAUGGAACGAAGAUAAGUGCAUCUUCCGGCCUGGAUGCACCCAUCCUCCUCUCAAGAUCAGCAUUAAGAAUCAGGAUUAUAAUAAUAAUAAUAUAAUAAUAAUUUCAGUGAUGAUUAUGUAAUUAUUAGUAUCUGAUUCAGCUUUUGGAUUGCUCCUGCUAAAUUGCUUUAUUAAAAUAUCCACAUUCAAAAAGUCUAUAUUGUGAACAUUACCUUUUUAACCCUUUGUGAAACAGUAAAGUUAAAAGCCAGUAAAUUAUGUGAAGUUGUAUUUACCUACUUUAAAGGAACACAUUAUUUUUACUAUGUUCGGAUGUGUAAAAUCUUGCAAGCACUAGAGGGUGCUUAGAGGUGUAACUCAAAUUACAAUGAAAGCAUUUUUCAAAAAAUGAUAUUGAAAUAUUUAGAUGCUACUUUCACUGUAAAGCAUUAAUAUUGAAAAACACUUAUAUGAGAAAGAAAACUGUAUUGGAAUAUUAUGAGCAUACCUUCCAAAACAUUCAGUGAAAUGAGAGUUUUAUAACAAGGCUUAUACAACUCAUAUAUUGUUUAUUUUGUAUUUUUCUGUGAAACUGAAUGGGUUUCAGUGUACAAUAAGUAACAACUUUGUAUAAAUCGCACAGGGAAAAAAAGUGUUUAAUAACAGGUCAUGCUAAUCCAACAGAAAAGGCCUUAAACUGCAAGAUUUACAGCUUGCUCUGUACUCUUAUUUACAAUUUACUGUUUUGUUGUUGUUUUUUUUAACAGAAUUAUUCUGGCAAACGCAGUUGACUUUUUUU